rnacentral:rRNA from 1 species
GAUGAACGCUGGCGGCGUGCCUAAUACAUGCAAGUCGAGCGAACAGACGAGGAGCUUGCUCCUCUGACGUUAGCGGCGGACGGGUGAGUAACACGUGGAUAACCUACCUAUAAGACUGGGAUAACUUCGGGAAACCGGAGCUAAUACCGGAUAAUAUAUUGAACCGCAUGGUUCAAUAGUGAAAGACGGUUUUGCUGUCACUUAUAGAUGGAUCCGCGCCGCAUUAGCUAGUUGGUAAGGUAACGGCUUACCAAGGCAACGAUGCGUAGCCGACCUGAGAGGGUGAUCGGCCACACUGGAACUGAGACACGGUCCAGACUCCUACGGGAGGCCGCAGUAGGGAAUCUUACGCAAUGGGCGAAAGCCUGACGGAGCAACGCCGCGUGAGUCAUGAAGGUCUUAGGCUGGUAAAACUCUGUUAUCAGGGAAGAACAAAUGUGUAAGUAACUAUGCACGUCUUGACGGUACCUAAUCAGAAAGCCACGGCUAACUACGUG